UAUAGGUGAACCAAAGGUAAACUGGGCUGGGUGAACCCUAUCAUGUUGCUUCCUGGUGCUGGAUGGCACCUGAGAAGAAUAUAGGAAUCGAUCUGCAGGAGAAGUGAGGUCCGGCCUCCCUUUUGUGACUGCAACUUGCAACAAUGAAAUUUGUGCCUGCAUGAAUGCACACCUGCAUUCAGAGAAUGUGUGCUUCUACUUACAUGAUUAGUGCCUGCCUUUCAGUAGUAGGUGUUCCAUGGGGUUUGCCUCAUAAAUAAGGAUUACAGUCUUCAUUAUCAGAACAUCACUGAAGUGAAAGGACAAAAAAGGAAGAACUCUAUGACAAGGAUAAACUGUUUAGAUAUUU